AGGUUUCUGGUAUAGGGUGGUGUUUAUGUGACCAUCGCUUGUUAGCACUGUAGUGCCCAGAAAGUGGAUCUCUUGUGUGGAUUGGUCCAGGCUGAGGUUGAUGGUGGG